rnacentral:misc_RNA from 1 species
GAUGAAGAACGUAGCGAAAUGCGAUAAGUAAUGUGAAUUGCAGAAUUCAGUGAAUCAUCGAAUCUUUGAACGCACCUUGCGCUCUUUGGUAUUCCGAAGAGCAUGCCUGUUUGAGUGUCAUGAAAAUAUCAACCUUGACUUGGGUUUUGUGCUCUAGUCUCGGCUUGGAAUUGGGUGCUUGCCGCUUUUACGAGCGGCUCACCUUAAAUGUAUUAGCUGGAUCUGUCUUUGAGACUUGGUUUGACUUGGCGUAAUAAGUAUUUCGCUAAGGACAUUCUUCGGAGUGGCCUCGUUUCUAGGACGCUUGUCCGCUUUCCAAUACAAGUUCCACCUCGUGGACAUGACUUUUUAUUAUCUGGCCACAAAUCAGGUAGGACUACCCGCUGAACUUAAGCAUAUCAAUAAGCGGAGGA